rnacentral:rRNA from 1 species
AUUAAUUUGAGAGUUUGAUCCUGGCUCAGGACGAACGCUGGCGGCGUGCCUAAUACAUGCAAGUCGAACGAACUCUGGUAUUGAUUGGUGCUUGCAUCAUGAUUUACAUUUGAGUGAGUGGCGAACUGGUGAGUAACACGUGGGAAACCUGCCCAGAAGCGGGGGAUAACACCUGGAAACAGAUGCUAAUACCGCAUAACAACUUGGACCGCAUGGUCCGAGUUUGAAAGAUGGCUUCGGCUAUCACUUUUGGAUGGUCCCGCGGCGUAUUAGCUAGAUGGUGGGG